rnacentral:rRNA from 1 species
GACGAACGCUGGCGGCGUGCUUAACACAUGCCAGUCGAACGGAAAGGCCCGGCUUUUGUGGGGUGCUCGAGUGGCGAACGGGUGAGUAACACGUGAGUAACCUGCCCUUGACUUUGGGAUAACUUCAGGAAACUGGGGCUAAUAGCGGAUAGGAGCUCCUGCUGCAUGGUGGGGGUUGGAAAGUUUCGGCGGUUGGGGAUGGACUCGCGGCUUAUCAGCUUGUUGGUGGGGUAGUGUCUUACCAAGGCUUUGACGGGUAGUCGGCCUGACAGGGUGACCGGCAACAAUGGGACGGAGAAACGACCCAGACUCCUCCGGGGGGCAGCAGUGGGGAAUAUUGCACAAUGGGCGGAAGCCUGAUGCAGCAACGCCGCGUGCGGGAUGACGGCCGUCGGGUUGUAAACCGCUUUCGCCUGUGACGAAGCGUGAGUGACGGUAAUGGGUAAAGAAGCACCGGCUAACUCCGUG